rnacentral:misc_RNA from 1 species
GCUUUUCUCAAGGAUUGGAUCAGACCAUCCGAUAGGAAAUUGAGUUUCCUUGGGUAUACCAAGUUUUUGCAUGGUGUGACGAUGCGAAGUUCAAGCACAAGACAUCAUCGAUAACAUGGCUGCACAGAGCACAUCAGUUGCUCCAAAGAGAGAACAAGAGAUUAUAGUUUCUAUUCUUUUCGUUCUUUUUUUCCUUUUGUGCAGUAAUAGAAAGUGUUUAAUUUAUCUAUUGUCAAAGAUAUCCA